CGGAGGCAAAGAAGGCAACAGAAAACUGUCAGGACUUGGGAACUGAAGGAUUUGAGGAGGCAGUGAGAAUUCCAACUGGGUUUACUGAGAAAACAAUAAUUCCAUUAACAGAAAUGGAGAAGAUCAAAAGCAGCUGGUUUCAGAAGGAGGACUGGACUUAAACGUGUUGAAUUUGAGGCGGUGGCAAACUAAUGAAGUACAAACGAACAGCAAGCAGAAAUACAGAGAACUUUAAAGAGGUCAGAAAUGGACACACAUUUGGAAGUGAGUCCUGGAAAGUGGGAAUGAAGAGAUGAGUGUGUAUACAAUCUUCUGAGGAUUAUUACAGAGAACAAAAGAGUAGGAAAUUGACUUUGAGGAAUACUUAUGUUAACGGGUCAGAGAAAAAAAAUCAAGAGUGACCAGAGCAGAAAGGGGUACAUCACAAGUAAAGAAUGCCAAGACAGAAGAAAGGCUAAUGGUAAGAGGUCUUGGUGAAAAUAAUCAAACACCAAGAUUUCCCUUCUGACUCGUUCGCUCUGCAGCCAAACAUGGUCCUACUACUAGCUAACAUCAGCAACACUGUCCUACAGACAUUUACUAUAUAAAAAUGCCACAAGGAGACAUACAAAAGAAACAUCCCAGUGGUAAGUACAUUUGAAGCUCACAACCUAAGUUACAAGGGACACACAUUUUACACGUGAGAUAUAGUCCCAAACUUAGGUCUUCUUGUUUCUUCUGAACAAUUUCACCCCGUCAAUGAGAAGAAAUGCAGAGCACUCUGGAGGUCAGGAGGAAGAAAAGAAGAAAGCAGAAACUCUGACUGGCUAAUUGAUGGAAUCAAGUCAGACCAAUUCUGAUGUGGCCACAUUUUUCACUGCCAUCAUGGAAACCGGAAGCCCUGGGUAAGUUCCUUGCCACUCUAUUUCUAGAAACAUCAAACACCUGGGCUGGAGUACUACCUGACAGCCAUUAGGUGACUGGUCAGAGGUG